ensembl:lncRNA
ACUGAAGUCAUAAAUAAGAGCUCCAAGCUGGCAAUUCUCCAAAUUUGUUUCUGUAAGACUGUAUUAUGCUGUAUGUUGUCUCUAAUUGGAAUCAGGAGCAAGUCUCAAUGUACAGUGAUAUUUUUCUGCUUUGAUUUUUAAUUUUCAGAGCUCUGUCAAAAGGUGCAAGUGAAAAAUAAAUGAGAUUGUUUUACCAUAGAACCACUUCAGCUGUGAAAACCUGCAGUAGCUCCCCAGUGAUCCAGAAAUCACAGAAUAUUUGUGGUUGGACGGACCCACGAGGACCAUCAAGUACGACUCUUAAUGCAGUAGCUCCCCAGUGAUCCAGAAAUCAGAAUAUUUGUGGUUGGAUGGACCCACGAGGACCAUCAAGUACGACUCUUAGGUGAAUGGCCUGGCUGGGGACCAAACCCACAACCUUGGCGUUAUUAGCACCAUACUCUGACCAACUGACCUAAUCUCAUGUAUCUGUUCAUUUCCUGCCUGGCAUGAAAAGAAAUAAAAAAGAAUUUUAAAAAAAAUUCAGAAAUGUUAGAUCGCUCACAUUCUUUCUUUACGUCAAUUUGCAAACUGAAGUUGAGCUCCAGCCCUAAUUUGCUUUCAAGAAAAGUCCAUUUCUACUGUGAGCAUGUAAGAGUAAGGGGUUGUCUGUAUGAACACUAGUUGUGAGGUUUUCCUUUGAAUUUCCCCAUAUACAUAGGAAAGACAGAAUGUUAUUUAAUCUUUUUCUGGAGAAGGAAAUUGAGAAUCAUUCCAUUUGCUGGAAAGCUUAAGUUGCACCCAAAUUUCUCUGUGUUUUGCAGAACAAAUUGAGAUCCUGAGUUCUUACAAAACUGUAUUUACUUGUGAUAUGUUACUGGGAGUAUCCUGAGUUGGUCUGUUUCACUGUCCUUCUUGUUUUCAGUAAAAAUCCACAAGGGAGCAGUCUCCUUUUCACUGGUAUGUGUUAGACAAAUUGUUUGCUUUGAGUAUUUUAUUGCUAUUAAAUCCCAUGCAGUCUAGCCCCCAUCUCUUUUGGAAAUAUUGCUUGCAUCAUUCAUUUCCCAGAAUGUUGUAGAGUUGUACUUAAAACCACAAGUUGACAAAUGGAAAGAUAUUUUUAAUGUAGAUACAAAAUCUGCUUCAAUUUUACUAACCACAAAUGUUUUGGUUUACUAGAAUAACACUUCUCUUAGUUGUGAAUGUUCACUUAAAUGACCUUUCCAAAAAUGGUGAAAUCCUAGCUCCAAGCAGCUGUUAGCAGUACCUUCAAGAUGUUUUGAGUCAUACUGCUUUAGUGGACUUUUCUCUUCUUACUCUUGCUACCAUCUGCAGAAGUUGCACAAGAAAACUGGUGAAGUUUUUCAUGUGGUUUGGGCUUUCAGGGUUUUAUCAGCAAAGUUAGGUAAAUUCCUGUAACUAGUUCUCUUGAACUACUGCAAGAUGUGAGCAAGAUUUAGUUUUGCAUCUCCACAUUGAGUUUUCAGGAAUCAGGUAAAUUAUUACGAUUUCUAAAAAUUAUCAAAACUCUGCAAGACAAUUUACUAUAUAACAAAACUUCUAUUUAAAGUCUUUUUUCAAUGAAUAAGGAUCAUAAAAUAAGUAUAUAUCUAUUAUGUAUAUAUAUAUAUAUACUUAUUCGAGGAAUAAGUAAAAUAACAUCUUUUCAAGGAAUAAGUGUAA